UACGGGGGGAGCAAGCGUUGUUCGGAUUUACUGGGCGUAAAGGGCGCGUAGGCGGUCAGCACAAGUCAGUUGUGAAAUCUCCGGGCUUAACUCGGAAAGGUCAACUGAUACUGUGCGACUAGAGUGCAGAAGGGGCAACUGGAAUUCUUGGUGUAGCGGUGAAAUGCGUAGAUAUCAAGAGGAACACCUGCGGCGAAGGCGGGUUGCUGGGCCGACACUGACGCUGAUGCGCGAAAGCUAGGGGAGCGAACGGG
rnacentral:rRNA from 1 species